rnacentral:rRNA from 1 species
UACGUAGGGUGCAAGCGUUGUCCGGAAUUAUUGGGCGUAAAGAGCUCGUAGGCGGUUUGUCGCGUCGACUGUGAAAACCCGAGGCUUAACCUCGGGCCUGCAGUCGAUACGGGUAGACUAGAGUUCGGUAGGGGAGACUGGAAUUCCUGGUGUAGCGGUGAAAUGCGCAGAUAUCAGGAGGAACACCGGUGGCGAAGGCGGGUCUCUGGGCCGAUACUGACGCUGAGGAGCGAAAGCGUGGGGAGCGAACAGG